rnacentral:rRNA from 1 species
UAACACGUGGACAACUACCUCCGGACGGGUAUAAACCGGGAAACUGGGUAUAAUCCCCGAUAGAUCUCGGUCGCUGGAAUGCCCCGAAAUCGAAAGCUCCGGCGCCAGAGGAUGGGUCUGCGGCCUAUCAGGUAGUAGUGGGUCUAGCGUACCUACUAGCCUACGACGGGUACGGGUUGUGAGAGCAAGAGCCCGGAGAUGGAUUCUGAGACACGAAUCCAGGCCCUACGGGGUGCAGCAGGCGCGAAAACUUUACAAUGCCGGCAACGGCGAUAAGGGGACCUCGAGUGCCAGGUUACAAAUCUGGCUGUCGUGAUGCCUAAAAAGCAUUGCAUAGCAAGGGCCGGGCAAGACCGGUGCCAGCCGCCGCGGUAACACCGGCGGCUCGAGUGGUAACCGUUAUUAUUGGGUCUAAAGGGUCUGUAGCCGGCCGGAUAAGUCUCUUGAGAAAUCCAGCAGCUCAACUGUUGGGCUUUCAGGAGAUACUGUUCGGCUCGAGGCCGGGAGAG